rnacentral:rRNA from 1 species
AAUUCCAAUCGCAUAUAUCAAAGUUGUUGCGGUCAAAAAGCUCGUAGUUGGAUUUCUGCUGAGGACGACCGGUCCGCCCUCUGGGUGAGUAUCUGGUUCGCCCUGGGCAUCUUCUUGGAAAACGUAGCUGCACUUGACUGUGUGGUGCGGUACUCAAGACCUUUACUUUGAGGGCAUUGGAGUGUUUCAGGCAGGCACACGCCUUGAAUACAUUAGCAUGGAACAAUGAGAUAGGACCUUGGUUUUAUUUUGUUGCUAUUCUAGAGCUGAGGUAAUGAUUGAGAGGGAUCGUUGGGGGCAUUGGUAUUUGACUGUCAGAGGUGAAGUUCUUGGAUGUGUUAAAGACGGACUACUGCGAAAGAGUUUGACAAGGAUGUUU